CGUAUAAUUUUCCACCUAAACUUAUGAACCGAAUCCUACAUAAUCUGUCCAUGUACGUGAACAAAGUUUGCUUGUUAAACUAUAUAAUGUAUUCUAAUAUCUAAAUUAGUUUUACAUUGUUUUCGCGAUUAAUUAUGGUUUGUACAUUUGCGUGGGCCCGAAUACGAAACAAGCAGUGAAAACGUAAGUGCAGCGCAGUGAAUUCCGCCGAAGAAAUUCAACGUGUACCGUCAUAUCUGAUGUUAGUUUUUGAAAUUCGUUAAAACAACUUUUGGGAACACAAAAAAAUAUCUCUAAUAUUGUGUGGGCGGGCAC